rnacentral:rRNA from 1 species
GGAAUAUUGGUCAAUGGCCGGAAGGCUGAACCAGCCAAGUCGCGUGAGGGAAUAAGGCCCUACGGGUCGUAAACCUCUUUUGUCGGGGAGCAAAUUCCGCCACGUGUGGCGGAGUCGAGAGUACCCGAAGAAAAAGCAUCGGCUAACUCCGUUCCAGCAGCCGCGGUAAUACGGAGGAUGCGAGCGUUAUCCGGAUUUAUUGGGUUUAAAGGGUGCGUAGGCGGACUGUCAAGUCAGCGGUAAAAUACGGGGGCUCAACCUCCGCCCGCCGUUGAAACUGACGGUCUUGAGUGGGCGAGAAGUAUGCGGAAUGCGUGGUGUAGCGGUGAAAUGCAUAGAUAUCACGCAGAACCCCGAUUGCGAAGGCAGCAUACCGGCGCCCUACUGACGCUGAGGCACGAAAGUGCGGGGAUCAAA